UACGUAGGGGGCAAGCGUUGUCCGGAGUUACUGGGCGUAAAGCGCACGCAGGCGGUCUUUUAAGUUUGGAGUGACAGUUGGUGGCUUAACUGCCAAAGUGCUUCGAAAACUGAAAGACUUGAGGGCUUCAGAGGGACACGGAAUUCCGGGUGGAGUGGUGAAAUGCGUAGAGAUCCGGAGGAACACCGGUGGCGAAGGCGGGUCUCUGGGCCGAUACUGACGCUGAGGAGCGAAAGCGUGGGGAGCGAACAGG
rnacentral:rRNA from 1 species